CGUGCCUAAUACAUGCAAGUCGAGCGGAGGUUAGAGAAGCUUGCUUCUCUAACUUAGCGGCGGACGGGUGAGUAACACGUGGGCAACCUACCUUGUAGAUUGGGAUAACUCCGGGAAACCGGGGCUAAUACCGAAUAAUCCAUUUUGCUUCAUGGCGAGAUGUUGAAAGACGGUUUCGGCUGUCACUACAAGAUGGGCCCGCGGCGCAUUAGCUAGUUGGUAGGGUAAUGGCCUACCAAGGCGACGAUGCGUAGCCGACCUGAGAGGGUGAUCGGCCACACUGGGACUGAGACACGGCCCAGACUCCUACGGGAGGCAGCAGUAGGGAAUCUUCCACAAUGGACGAAAGUCUGAUGGAGCAACGCCGCGUGAGUGAAGAAGGUUUUCGGAUCGUAAAACUCUGUUGUAAGGGAAGAACACGUACGAGAGUAACUGCUCGUACCUUGACGGUACCUUAUUAGAAAGCCACGGCUAACUACGUG
rnacentral:rRNA from 1 species